rnacentral:rRNA from 1 species
AUGAUCUACCCACAGAGAGCCACAUGUUUUCUCGUCAUUGCCGUCCUCAUCCUCCUCCUACCGCUGAUGUCUUCCUAUCUAUGCAUGGCCGCCGCACAUGACCCACUGCAUCAUGCUCCAGGUGGCGACAUUGGUGUGUGGGGUCGUUCAGAUGGGCUGCAUCAUGAAGGGGGAAAGGUGUUUGGGAUGGGGACUGCGAGGCGCUUGGGGCAGAGGAUACCGAUGAAGAACCCUCCCUCACCAGUCCCCAACGAAAACAUGGGGGUGGUGUUACCCCUGACACCACCACCACCAUCGUUGAUCAAUAAACAAGUGUUGGAGGUCCGGGAUACGAGCAUGCCAUGGUGA